AAAGGGAGCGUAGGCGGCGCGGUAAGUCGGAUGUGAAAUCCCGGGGCUCAACCCCGGAACUGCAUCUGAUACUGCCGUGCUAGAGUAAUGGAGGGGUAGCUGGAAUUCUCGGUGUAGCAGUGAAAUGCGUAGAUAUCGAGAGGAACACUCGUGGCGAAAGCGAGCUACUGGACAUUUACUGACGCUGAGGCUCGAAGGCUAGGGGAGCGAAAGGGAUUAGAUACCCUAGU
rnacentral:rRNA from 1 species